GACGAACGCUGGCGGCGUGCUUAACACAUGCCAGUCGAACGGAAAGGCCCUGCCUUUGUGGGGUGCUCGAGUGGCGAACGGGUGAGUAACACGUGAGUAACCUGCCCUUGACUUUGGGAUAACUUCAGGAAACUGGGGCUAAUACCGGCUAGGAGCUCCUGCUGCUUGGUGGGGGUUGGAAAGUUUCGGCGGUUGGGGAUGGACUCGCGGCCUAUCAGCUUGUUGGUGGGGUAGUGGCUUACCAGGGCUUUGACGGGUAGCCGGCCUGGGAGGAUAAGCGGCCACGUUGGGACUGAGAUAAGGCUCAGACUCGUAUGGGACGCAGCGGUGGAGAAGAGUACACAGUGGGCGGAAGCAUGGUGCAACAACGCCGCGUGCGGGGAGACAGCAUUCGGGUUGUAAACCGCUGUCGCCUGUGACGGGGCGAGAAUGACGGUAAUGGGUGAAGAAGCACCGGCUAACUACGUG
rnacentral:rRNA from 1 species